UACGGGGGGGCAAGCGUUGUUCGGAAUUACUGGGCGUAAAGGGCUCGUAGGUGGCCAACUAAGUCAGACGUGAAAUCCCCAGGCUCAACUUGGGAACUGCGUCUGAUACUGGAUGGCUUGAAUUCGGGAGAGGGAUGCAGAAUUCCAGGUGUAGCGGUGAAAUGCGUAGAUAUCGGGAGGAACACCUAUGGCGAAGGCAGCUCGCUGGGACGUUACUGACGCUGAGACGCGAAAGCGUGGGGAGCAAACAGG
rnacentral:rRNA from 1 species